CUUGUAAUUUAUAACGAACAUUUGGUUAUAGAAAUGGCAUUCACUGGAAGUGAAAAGGCAUUUUGUGUGUUGGAGUAUGCUCGAUCACAGUCAAACAAGACUGCGCAGCGUGCAUUUGUGAGAAAGUUCUCUAAAAAGUCACCAACGGCAA